GGGUUGUGAGGUUAAGCGACUAAGCGUACACGGUGGAUGCCCUGGCAGUCAGAGGCGAUGAAGGACGUGCUAAUCUGCGAAAAGCGCCGGCGAGGUGAUAUGAACCUUUGACCCGGCGAUGUCCGAAUGGGGAAACCCAGUGCAAUUCGUUGCACUAUCGUUAACUGAAUACAUAGGUUAACGAGGCGAACCGGGGGAACUGAAACAUCUAAGUACCCCGAGGAAAAGAAAUCAACCGAGAUUCCCCCAGUAGCGGCGAGCGAACGGGGAGCAGCCCAGAGUCUGAAUCAGCUUGUGUGUUAGUGGAAGCGUCUGGAAAGUCGCACGGUACAGGGUGACAGUCCCGUACACGAAAGCACACAGGCUGUGAACUCGAAGAGUAGGGCGGGACACGUGGUAUCCUGUCUGAAUAUGGGGGGACCAUCCUCCAAGGCUAAAUACUCCUGACUGACCGAUAGUGAACCAGUACCGUGAGGGAAAGGCGAAAAGAACCCCGGCGAGGGGAGUGAAAAAGAACCUGAAACCGUGUACGUACAAGCAGUGGGAGCACCUUCGUGGUGUGACUGCGUACCUUUUGUAUAAUGGGUCAGCGACUUAUAUUCUGUAGCAAGGUUAACCGUAUAGGGGAGCCGAAGGGAAACCGAGUCUUAACUGGGCGUUAAGUUGCAGGGUAUAGACCCGAAACCCGGUGAUCUAGCCAUGGGCAGGUUGAAGGUUGGGUAACACUAACUGGAGGACCGAACCGACUAAUGUUGAAAAAUUAGCGGAUGACUUGUGGCUGGGGGUGAAAGGCCAAUCAAACCGGGAGAUAGCUGGUUCUCCCCGAAAGCUAUUUAGGUAGCGCCUCGUGAA
rnacentral:rRNA from 1 species